AUUGAACUCUGGCGGCAGGCUUAACACAUGCAAGUCGAGCGGAGAGAGGUAGCUUGCUACCGAUCUUAGCGGCGGACGGUUGAGUAAUGCUUAGGAAUCUGCCUAUUAGUGGGGGACAACAUUCCGAAAGGAAUGCUAAUACCGCAUACGUCCUACGGGAGAAAGCAGGGGAUCUUCGGACCUUGCGCUAAUAGAUGAGCCUAAGUCCGAUGAGCUAGUUGGUGGGGUAAAGGCCUACCAAGGCGACGAUCUGUAGCGGGUCUGAGAGGAUGAUCCGCCACACUGGGACUGAGACACGGCCCAGACUCCUACGGGAGGCAGCAGUGGGGAAUAUUGGACAAUGGGCGCAAGCCUGAUCCAGCCAUGCCGCGUGUGUGAAGAAGGCCUUAUGGUUGUAAAGCACUUUAAGCGAGGAGGAGGCUACUCUAGUUAAUACCUAGAGUUAGUGGACGUUACUCGCAGAAUAAGCACCGGCUAACUCUGUGCCAGCCGCCGCGGUAAUAC
rnacentral:rRNA from 1 species